ACGGGGGGUCCUAGCGUUGUUCGGAAUCAUUGGGCGUAAAGCGUGUGCAGGUGGUCAGGAAAGUUGGAUGUGAAAUCCCCGGGCUUAACUCGGGAAGUGCACUCAAAACUCCCUGACUUGAGUAAGGAAGAGGGUCGUGGAAUUCCAGGUGUAGUGGUGAAAUACGUAGAUAUCUGGAGGAACACCGGCGGCGAAGGCGGCGACCUGGUCCUAUACUGACACUCAUACACGAAAGCGUGGGGAUCAAACAGGA
rnacentral:rRNA from 1 species